rnacentral:rRNA from 1 species
AGUGAACGCUGGCGGUAGGCCUAACACAUGCAAGUCGAACGGCAGCACAGUAAGAGCUUGCUCUUACGGGUGGCGAGUGGCGGACGGGUGAGGAAUACAUCGGAAUCUACUUUUUCGUGGGGGAUAACGUAGGGAAACUUACGCUAAUACCGCAUACGGCCUACGGGUGAAAGCAGGGGAUCUUCGGACCUUGCGCGAUUGAAUGAGCCGAUGUCGGAUUAGCUAGUUGGCGGGGUAAAGGCCCACCAAGGCGACGAUCCGUAGCUGGUCUGAGAGGAUGAUCAGCCACACUGGAACUGAGACACGGUCCAGACUCCUACGGGAGGCAGCAGUGGGGAAUAUUGGACAAUGGGCGCAAGCCUGAUCCAGCCAUACCGCGUGGGUGAAGAAGGCCUUCGGGUUGUAAAGCCCUUUUGUUGGGAAAGAAAAGCAGCAGGUUAAUACCCCGCUGUUCUGACGUUACCAAAAGAAUAAGCACCGGCUAACUUCGUG